AAAUUGAAGAGUUUGAUCAUGGCUCAGAUUGAACGCUGGCGGCAGGCCUAACACAUGCAAGUCGAGCGGUAGCACAGAGAGCUUGCUCUCGGGUGACGAGCGGCGGACGGGUGAGUAAUGUCUGGGAAACUGCCUGAUGGAGGGGGAUAACUACUGGAAACGGUAGCUAAUACCGCAUAAUGUCGCAAGACCAAAGUGGGGGACCUUCGGACCUCAUGCCAUCAGAUGUGCCCAGAUGGGAUUAGCUAGUAGGUGGGGUAAUGGCUCACCUAGGCGACGAUCCCUAGCUGGUCUGAGAGGAUGACCAGCCACACUGGAACUGAGACACGGUCCAGACUCCUACGGGAGGCAGCAGUGGGGAAUAUUGCACAAUGGGCGCAAGCCUGAUGCAGCCAUGCCGCGUGUGUGAAGAAGGCCUUCGGGUUGUAAAGCACUUUCAGCGGGGAGGAAGGCGUUAAGGUUAAUAACCUUGGCGAUUGACGUUACCCGCAGAAGAAGCACCGGCUAACUCCGUGCCAGCAGCCGCGGUAAUACGGAGGGUGCAAGCGUUAAUCGGAAUUACUGGGCGUAAAGCGCACGCAGGCGGUCUGUCAAGUCGGAUGUGAAAUCCCCGGGCUUAACCUGGGAACUGCAUUCGAAACUGGCAGGCUAGAGUCUUGUAGAGGGGGGUAGAAUUCCAGGUGUAGCGGUGAAAUGCGUAGAGAUCUGGAGGAAUACCGGUGGCGAAGGCGGCCCCCUGGACAAAGACUGACGCUCAGGUGCGAAAGCGUGGGGAGCAAACAGGAUUAGAUACCCUGGUAGUCCACGCCGUAAACGAUGUCGAUUUGGAGGUUGUGCCCUUGAGGCGUGGCUUCCGGAGCUAACGCGUUAAAUCGACCGCCUGGGGAGUACGGCCGCAAGGUUAAAACUCAAAUGAAUUGACGGGGGCCCGCACAAGCGGUGGAGCAUGUGGUUUAAUUCGAUGCAACGCGAAGAACCUUACCUGGUCUUGACAUCCACAGAACUUUCCAGAGAUGGAUUGGUGCCUUCGGGAACUGUGAGACAGGUGCUGCAUGGCUGUCGUCAGCUCGUGUUGUGAAAUGUUGGGUUAAGUCCCGCAACGAGCGCAACCCUUAUCCUUUGUUGCCAGCGGUUAGGCCGGGAACUCAAAGGAGACUGCCAGUGAUAAACUGGAGGAAGGUGGGGAUGACGUCAAGUCAUCAUGGCCCUUACGACCAGGGCUACACACGUGCUACAAUGGCAUAUACAAAGAGAAGCGACCUCGCGAGAGCAAGCGGACCUCAUAAAGUAUGUCGUAGUCCGGAUUGGAGUCUGCAACUCGACUCCAUGAAGUCGGAAUCGCUAGUAAUCGUAGAUCAGAAUGCUACGGUGAAUACGUUCCCGGGCCUUGUACACACCGCCCGUCACACCAUGGGAGUGGGUUGCAAAAGAAGUAGGUAGCUUAACCUUCGGGAGGGCGCUUACCACUUUGUGAUUCAUGACUGGGGUGAAGUCGUAACAAGGUAACCGUAGGGGAACCUGCGGUUGGAUCACCUCCUUACCUUAAAGAA
rnacentral:rRNA from 1 species